ACUUUACAAUGCGGGCAACCGUGAUAAGGGAACCUCGAGUGCCUGUAUAUGCAGGCUGUCCAGGUGUCUAAAACACACCUGAAGAAAGGGCCGGGCAAGACCGGUGCCAGCCGCCGCGGUAAUACCGGCGGCUCGAGUGGUGGCCACUUUUAUUGGGCUUAAAGCGUUCGUAGCUGGGUUGUUAAGUCUCUUGGGAAAUCCGGCAGCUUAACUGUCGGGCGUCUAAGGGAUACUGGUAAUCUUGGAACCGGGAGAGGUGAGGGGUACUUCGGGGGUAGGAGUGAAAUCCUGUAAUCCUCGAGGGACCACCUGUGGCGAAGGCGCCUCACCAGAACGGCUUCGACAGUGAGGGACGAAAGCUGGGGGAGCAAACCGG
rnacentral:rRNA from 1 species